rnacentral:rRNA from 1 species
CCAAGGAGUCUAGCGUGUGAGCGAGUCAAUAAGUGUCAAAACUUAAAGGCGGAAUGAAAGUGUACUAAGAGGUGUACUCCUUUCUUUGGGAGGAUGGACGUCUCUUCGUAAACUGAAGAGCGUCCCGCACUCCCGGGGCGUUUCAUUCUCUUUUAGAGUCGAGACGCACCAGGAGCUCACACGCUGGUACCCGAAAGAUGGUGAACUAUGCCUGGUCAGGACGAAGCCAGGGGAAACCCUGGUGGAGGUCCGAAGCGAUUCUGACGUGCAAAUCGAUCGUCUGAGCUAGGUAUAGGGGCGAAAGACCAAUCGAACCAUC